AUUGAACGCUGGCGGCAUACCUUACACAUGCAAGUCGAACGGUAACAGGUCGUCGGAUGCUGACGAGUGGCGAACGGGUGAGUAAUACAUCGGAACGUGCCUAGUAGUGGGGGAUAACUACUCGAAAGAGUGGCUAAUACCGCAUGAGAUCUACGGAUGAAAGCAGGGGAUCGCAAGACCUUGUGCUACUAGAGCGGCCGAUGGCAGAUUAGGUAGUUGGUGGGAUAAAAGCUUGCCAAGCCGACGAUCUGUAGCUGGUCUGAGAGGACGAUCAGCCACACUGGGACUGAGACACGGCCCAGACUACUACGGGAGGCAGCAGUGGGGAAUUUUGGACAAUGGGCGCAAGCCUGAUCCAGUAAUGCCGCGUGCAGGAUGAAGGCCUUCGGGUUGUAAACUGCUUUUGUACGGAACGAAAAGCCCCGGGUUAAUACCCUGGGGUCAUGACGGUACCGUAAGAAUAAGCACCGGCUAACUACGUGCCAGCAGCCGCGGUAA
rnacentral:rRNA from 1 species